rnacentral:rRNA from 1 species
AUACGUAGGUGGCGAGCGUUGUCCGGAAUUACUGGGUGUAAAGGGCGUGUAGGCGGGGCGUCAAGUCAGGUGUGAAACUCCGAGGCUUAACUUCGGGUGUGCAUCUGAAACUGAUGUUCUUGAGUGUCGGAGAGGAAAGUGGAAUUCCCAGUGUAGCGGUGAAAUGCGUAGAGAUUGGGAGGAACACCAGUGGCGAAGGCGGCUUUCUGGACGAUAACUGACGCUGAGGCGCGAAAGCGUGGGUAGCAAACAGGAUUAGAUACCCUGGUAGUCCACGCCGUAAACGAUGGAUACUAGGUGUAGGAGGUAUCGACCCCUUCUGUGCCGGAGUUAACACAAUAAGUAUCCCACCUGGGGAGUACGGCCGCAAGGCUGAA